rnacentral:rRNA from 1 species
UAGGGAAUAUUAGAAAUGGACGAAAGUCUGAUCUAGCAACACCGCGUGUGCGAAGAAGGCCUUCGGGUUGUAAAGCACUUUUUGGAAGGAUUAGGAAGGAAUGUACUUCCGGAAUAAGUCUCGGCUAACUACGUGCCAGCAGCCGCGGUAACACGUAGGAGGCAAACGUUAUCCGGAUUUACUGGGCGUAAAGCGCGUGUAGGUGGUUCUGUAAGUAGGGCGUGAAAGCUCCUGGCUCAAUUGGGAGAGGCCGUUCUAAACUGCAGAGCUAGAGGAUGGUAGAGGGAGGUGUAAUUCCGGGUGUAGCGGUGGAAUGCGCAGAUAUCCGGAGGAACACCAGUGGCAAAAGCGGCCUCCUGGACCAUUCCUGACACUCAGACGCGAAAGCUAGGGUAGCAAACG